rnacentral:misc_RNA from 1 species
GCCUGCCACAAGGCCGCUGAUAUGAGCCAUGUCACACAUCAAUACUGCUCCAAUCUUAUCUGCAACUUGCCUAAACCUGGCGUAAUCCCAUUCUCUUGGGUAUGAGCUUCCACCACAAAUAAGUAUCUUGGGUCUAAAAUCCAUUGCCUUGUCCUCCAUCUUAUCAUAAUCAAUAUACCCAGUUUGUAGAUUCACUUUGUAAGGCAAACUCUCAAAGAAAAUCGACGAAGCAGACACCUUUUUUCCACCCGAAGUAUAAUAUCCAUGACUCAAAUGCCCCCCAGAAGGUGAAUCCAAACCCAUAAUCCG